UCUGUUCCUCAGUCAGUCGGA
rnacentral:piRNA from 1 species